AUGCAAGUCGAGGGGCAGCAUAGGACUUCGGUUCUGAUGGCGACCGGCGCACGGGUGCGUAACGCGUACACUACCUACCUUUAACAGAGGGAUAGCCCUGGGAAACUGGGAUUAAUACCACAUAGUAUUGCAUAAUUUAUUUUUAUGCAAUUAAAGCUCCGGCGGUUAAAGAUGGGUGUGCGUUAGAUUAGCUAAUUGGUAAGGUAAUGGCUUACCAAGGCUACGAUCUAUAGGGGGCGUGAGAGCGUGGACCCCCACACGGGUACUGAGACACGGACCCGACUCCUACGGGAGGCAGCAGUAAGGAAUAUUGGACAAUGGGCGCAAGCCUGAUCCAGCCAUCCCGCGUGAAGGAUGACGGCCCUAUGGGUUGUAAACUUCUUUUAUUAGGGAAGAAACCUUUUCAUUUAUGAAGAGCUGACGGUACCUAAAGAAUAAGCACCGGCUAACUCCGUGCCAGCAGCCGCGGUAAUACGGAGGGUGCAAGCGUUAUCCGGAAUCACUGGGUUUAAAGGGUGCGUAGGCGGAUAAAUAAGUCAGAGGUGAAAGCUUUCCGCUUAACGGGAAAAUUGCCUUUGAUACUGUUUAUCUUGAAUUAUGUUGAGGUUAGCGGAAUGUGACAUGUAGCGGUGAAAUGCAUAGAUAUGUCAUAGAACACCAAUUGCGAAAGGCAGCUAGCUAGGCAUAUAUUGACGCUGAGGCACGAAAGCGUGGGG
rnacentral:rRNA from 1 species